AUGAACGCUAGCUACAGGCUUAACACAUGCAAGUCGAGGGGCAGCAUGAACUUAGCUUGCUAAGUUUGAUGGCGACCGGCGCACGGGUGAGUAACACGUAUCCAACCUGCCGAUGACUCGGGGAUAGCCUUUCGAAAGAAAGAUUAAUACCCGAUGGCAUAGUUCUUCCGCAUGGUGGAACUAUUAAAGAAUUUCGGUCAUCGAUGGGGAUGCGUUCCAUUAGGUUGUUGGCGGGGUAACGGCCCACCAAGCCUUCGAUGGAUAGGGGUUCUGAGAGGAAGGUCCCCCACAUUGGAACUGAGACACGGUCCAAACUCCUACGGGAGGCAGCAGUGAGGAAUAUUGGUCAAUGGACGAGAGUCUGAACCAGCCAAGUAGCGUGAAGGAUGACUGCCCUAUGGGUUGUAAACUUCUUUUAUACGGGAAUAAAGUGAGGCACGCGUGCCUUUUUGUAUGUACCGUAUGAAUAAGGAUCGGCUAACUCCGUGCCAGCAGCCGCGGUAAUACGGAGGAUCCGAGCGUUAUCCGGAUUUAUUGGGUUUAAAGGGAGCGUAGGCGGACGCUUAAGUCAGUUGUGAAAGUUUGCGGCUCAACCGUAAAAUUGCAGUUGAUACUGGGUGUCUUGAGUACAGUAGAGGCAGGCGGAAUUCGUGGUGUAGCGGUGAAAUGCUUAGAUAUCACGAAGAACUCCGAUUGCGAAGGCAGCCUGCUGGACUGUAACUGACGCUGAUGCUCGAAAGUGUGGGUAUCAAACAGGAUUAGAUACCCUGGUAGUCCACACAGUAAACGAUGAAUACUCGCUGUUUGCGAUAUACAGUAAGCGGCCAAGCGAAAGCGUUAAGUAUUCCACCUGGGGAGUACGCCGGCAACGGUGAAACUCAAAGGAAUUGACGGGGGCCCGCACAAGCGGAGGAACAUGUGGUUUAAUUCGAUGAUACGCGAGGAACCUUACCCGGGCUUGAAAGUUAGCGACGAUUCUUGAAAGAGGAUUUCCCUUCGGGGCGCGAAACUAGGUGCUGCAUGGUUGUCGUCAGCUCGUGCCGUGAGGUGUCGGCUUAAGUGCCAUAACGAGCGCAACCCUUAUCGAUAGUUACCAUCAGGUUAUGCUGGGGACUCUGUCGAGACUGCCGUCGUAAGAUGUGAGGAAGGUGGGGAUGACGUCAAAUCAGCACGGCCCUUACGUCCGGGGCUACACACGUGUUACAAUGGGGGGUACAGAAGGCAGCUACACGGCGACGUGAUGCUAAUCCCGAAAGCCUCUCUCAGUUCGGAUUGGAGUCUGCAACCCGACUCCAUGAAGCUGGAUUCGCUAGUAAUCGCGCAUCAGCCACGGCGCGGUGAAUACGUUCCCGGGCCUUGUACACACCGCCCGUCAAGCCAUGAAAGCCGGGGGUACCUGAAGUGCGUAACCGCGAGGAGCGCCCUAGGGUAAAACUGGUGAUUGGGGCU
rnacentral:rRNA from 1 species